AUUGAACGCUGGCGGCAUGCCUUACGCAUGCAAGUCGAACGGCAGCGCGGGGCAACCUGGCGGCGAGUGGCGAACGGGUGAGUAACAUAUCGGAACAUACCCUAGAGUGGGGGAUAACGUAGCGAAAGUUACGCUAAUACCGCAUACGCACUAAGGUGGAAAGUGGGGGAUCUUCGGACCUCAUGCUCAUGGAGUGGCCGAUAUCUGAUUAGCUAGUUGGUGAGGUAAAGGCUCACCAAGGCGACGAUCAGUAGCUGGUUUGAGAGAACGACCAGCCACACUGGAACUGAGACACGGUCCAGACUCCUACGGGAGGCAGCAGUGGGGAAUUUUGGACAAUGGGGGCAACCCUGAUCCAGCAAUGCCGCGUGAGUGAAGAAGGCCU
rnacentral:rRNA from 1 species